UACGUAGGGUGCGAGCGUUGUCCGGAAUUAUUGGGCGUAAAGGGCUCGUAGGCGGUCUGUCGCGUCGGGAGUGAAAACUCAGGGCUUAACCCUGAGCCUGCUUCCGAUACGGGCAGACUAGAGGUAUGCAGGGGAGAACGGAAUUCCUGGUGUAGCGGUGAAAUGCGCAGAUAUCAGGAAGAACACCCGUGGCUAAGGCGGCUCUCUAGUACGGUACUGACGCUGAGACGCGAAAGCGUGGGGAGCGAACAGG
rnacentral:rRNA from 1 species